rnacentral:rRNA from 1 species
GCCUACCAUGGUGGUAACGGGUAACGGGGUGUUAGGGCACGACACCGGAGAGGGAGCCUGAGAAACGGCUACCACAUCCAAGGAUGGCAGCAGGCGCGCAAAUUACCCAAUCCCGACACGGGGAGGUAGUGACAAUAAAUAACAAUACGGGGUUCUUUCGGAUUUCGUAAUUGGAAUGAGUACAAUUUAAAUCUCUUAACGAGGAACAAUUGGAGGGCAAGUCUGGUGCCAGCAGCCGCGGUAAUUCCAGCUCCAAUAGCGUAUAUUAAAGUUGUUGCAGUUAAAAAGCUCGUAGUUGAAUUUCGGGAUUAAUAUGUUGGUCGUGCCUUGGUACGUACUGGCAUUAUUGAUUCCUACCUUCUGAAGAACCUCGAUGUCAUUAAUUUGGUGUCUUGGGGAAUCAGGACCGUUACUUUGAAAAAAUUAGAGUGUUUAAAGCAGGCUCGCGCUUGAAUACAUUAGCAUGGAAUAAUGAAAUAGGACGUUUGAUUCUAUUUUGUUGGUUUCUAGGAUCGACGUAAUGAUUAAUAGGGAUAGUUGGGGGCAUUAGUAUUCAAUUGUCAGAGGUGAAAUUCUUGGAUUUAUUGAAGACUGACUACUGCGAAAGCAUUUGCCCAGGAUGUUUUCAUUAAUCAAGAACGAAAGUUAGGGGAUCGAAGACGAUCAGAUACCGUCGUAGUCUUAACCAUAAACUAUGCCGACUAGGGAUCGGAUGAUGUUAAUUUUUUAAUGACUCAUUCGGCGCCUUACG